CUCAAAUUAUCACUGUACACUGUGACAGAACAAACGCUGUCGCAUAUUUACUUGAGUAUUUUUGCCAAAAUGGACAGAAAGUUUCACCAAAAAACACCAGCACAGGAGCAGGAGCAAUAGCAGAAGCAGCAGGAGCCAGACCAGGACGGACACUUAGUACCUAAUACACCAACGAGUGAAUACAGUGCCCUUUUUUUAGUUGGAUCUGAUGAGACCAUACAAGUCAUAUGCCCUCUGCAGGUGCCCGGAGUGUUGUUGGAGACAACUCAUGAAAGGGUGGUACAACUCUUACUGGUAUUGGUUGGCUGGUUCUGGACAUAGAUGGCACACUCAAACUUAAACCACCUUCUAAUGGAUCAAAGUACUUUUUGAGCAUCCCAGAAUUUGACAGAGUCCGAGAUGAGCUGGAAAGCAAAGCUGGUGGAAGAGGCUGGCCAUUGUCCUGGCUUUAGGAGGGGCAGCAGCCCUGCUCUGGCUCUGUUGGCGCUUUUACCAAAAGCGAAAACAGGAGCAUGAGUUCUCAUGUCCUUUGUUCAUAUUUAUUAUUAUUAUUAUUUAUAGUUUUGGUCAUAUAUUUUUAGACA